rfam:Ictidomys tridecemlineatus contig044381, whole genome shotgun sequence.
UGGGGUGUAGCCCAAGGGUAGAGCACAUGCCUUGCUGGCUUGAGGCCCUGGGUUCCAUCCCCAGCACCACAA